GACGAACGCUGGCGGCGUGCUUAACACAUGCAAGUCGAACGGAAAGGCCCUGCUUUUGUGGGGUGCUCGAGUGGCGAACGGGUGAGUAACACGUGAGUAACCUGCCCUUGACUUUGGGAUAACUUCAGGAAACUGGGGCUAAUACCGGCUAGGAGCUCCUGCUGCAUGGUGGGGGUUGGAAAGUUUCGUCGGUUGGGGAUGGACUCGCGGCUUAUCAGCUUGUUGGUGGGGUAGUGGCUUACCAAGGCUUUGACGGGUAGCCGGCCUGAGAGGGUGACCGGCCACAUUGGGACUGAGAUACGGCCCAGACUCCUACGGGAGGCAGAAGUGGGGAAUAUUGCACAAUGGGCGGAAGCCUGAUGCAGCAACGCCGCGUGCGGGAUGACGGCCUUCGGGUUGUAAACCGCUUUCGCCUGUGACGAAGCGUGAGUGACGGUAAUGGGUAAAGAAGCACCGGCUAACUACGUG
rnacentral:rRNA from 1 species